UCCCUGGUGGUCCAGUCGUUAUGACUUAGCACUUUCACUGCCAUGGCCUGGGUUUGAUCCCUGGUCAGGGAA
rnacentral:tRNA from 1 species